rnacentral:rRNA from 1 species
CUCGAAACUCAAAGGAAUUGACGGGGCCGCACAAGCGGUGGAGUAUGUGGUUUAAUUCGAAAUGCAACGCGAAGAACCUUACCUGGUCUUGACAUCCCGGAGACCCUUAGGAAACUAGGGGGUGCUUCCAUCUGGAAGAAUCUGGAGACAGGUGCUGCAUGGCUGUCGUCAGCUCGUGUCGUGAGAUGUUGGGUUAAGUCCCGCAACGAGCGCAACCCUUGCCUUUAGUUGCCAGCAGUUCGGCUGGGCACUCUAAAGGGACUGCCGGUGUUAAACCGGAGGAAGGUGGGGAUGACGUCAAGUCCUCAUGGCCUUUAUGACCAGGGCUACACACGUACUACAAUGGCCGAUACAAAGGGCAGCGACACUGCGAGGUGAAGCCAAUCCCGUAAAAUCGGUCUCAGUCCGGAUUGGAGUCUGCAACUCGACUCCAUGAAGUUGGAAUCGCUAGUAAUCGUGGAUCAGCAUGCCACGGUGAAUACGUUCCCGGGCCUU